AUACCUUUCUCGGCCUUUUGGCUAAGAUCAAGUGUAGUAUCUGUUCUUAUCAGUUUAAUAUCUGAUAUGUGGGUCAUUGGCCCACACGAUAUUAAAUUACUUUUUUAAAGGGGAGAGACCAUUCCAAUAGCUUGCUAUUAGGUCUCUCAUAUAUCGCUAAUGUGUUAGCACUAUUACAUGAGCUGGUGUACCCUAC